CACUGCAGCUAAGGACCCUUGAAGUGAACGCACAGAAGUCACGUGACUGUAGUGACAUCAUCAGUCAUUCAGCCGGGACUGGAUCUAGCUGCUACCAGGUGUCACAUUUAUAGCAUCUAACUCAGUCACUGACAAAGAACAAGAUGAAGAAAUACAGGAAGCAGAUAGCAGAGCAGUUCCUGAGUCAGGCCCUGGGCAUCAUCUGCCUGCUGACCGGAGAGGAAUACACCAUUGUGAAGAAGAGGCCCUCCCACAGCAGCGUUCAACAGCUGAGCGGAGAGGUGCCUAUAAAGUGUGAUGAUGUUGCUGUGUAUUUCUCUAUGGAGGAGUGGGAGUAUAUAGAGGAACACAAGGAGCUUUACAAGGAC